AACGCUGGCGGCGUGCCUAACACAUGCAAGUCGAGCGGAGUCGAUCGACGGAAGCCUUCGGGCGGAAGAUGGUUGACUUAGCGGCGGAUGGGUGAGUAACGCGUGGGCAACCUGCCUCGAAGACCGGGAUAACAGCCCGAAAGGGCUGCUAAUACCGGAUGUGGUCAAGGAUCCGCAUGGAUUUUGAUUAAAGGGGAAACCCGUUUCGAGAUGGGCCCGCGUCCUAUCAGCUAGUUGGUGAGGUAAAAGCUCACCAAGGCGACGACGGGUAGCCGGCCUGAGAGGGUGACCGGCCACACUGGAACUGAGACACGGUCCAGACUCCUACGGGGGGCAGCAGUGGGGAAUCUUCCACAAUGGGCGAAAGCCUGAUGGAGCGACGCCGCGUGAGCGAAGAAGGCCUUCGGGUUGUAAAGCUCUGUCUGGAGGGACGAAGGAAGUGACGGUACCUCCGGAGGAAGCCACGGCUAACUACGUG
rnacentral:rRNA from 1 species